rnacentral:rRNA from 1 species
CCCCUAGAUGUUCUGGGCCGCACGCGCGCUACACUGAACAGUUCAACAAGUCUUAACCUUGGCCGAUAGGUCUGGGUAAUCUUUGAACGCUGUUCGUGAUUGGGAUAGACCUUUGCAAUUAUGGGUCUUCAACGAGGAAUUCCUAGUAAACGCAAGUCAUCAGCUUGCAUUGAUUACGUCCCUGCCCUUUGUACACACCGCCCGUCGCACCUACCGAUUGAAUGGUCCGGUGAAUAAUUCGGACUGCAGCAGUGUUCAGUUCCUGAACGUUGCAGCGGAAAGUUUAGUGAACCUUAUCACUUAGAGGAAGGAGAANUCGUANCA